rnacentral:rRNA from 1 species
AACGAACGCUGGCGGCGUGCCUAAUACAUGCAAGUCGAGCGGACAGAAGGGAGCUUGCUCCCGGAAGUUAGCGGCGGACGGGUGAGUAACACGUGGGCAACCUACCCUGUAGAUCGGGAUAACAUCGAGAAAUCGGUGCUAAUACCGGAUAAUCAUUUGAAGUGCAUGCUUCGAAUGUAAAAGAUGGCUCCGGCUAUCACUACGGGAUGGGCCCGCGGCGCAUUAGCUAGUUGGUAAGGUAAUGGCUUACCAAGGCAACGAUGCGUAGCCGACCUGAGAGAGGGAUCGGCCACACUGGGACUGAGACACGGCCCAGACUCCUACGGGAGGCAGCAGUAGGGAAUCUUCCGCAAUGGACGAAAGUCUGACGGAGCAACGCCGCGUGAGUGAUGAAGGUUUUCGGAUCGUAAAGCUCUGUUGUUAGGGAAGAACAAGUGCCGUUUGAAUAAGGCGGCACCUUGACGGUACCUAACCAGAAAGCCACGGCUAACUACGUGCCAGCCGCCGCCGUAAGAC